rnacentral:rRNA from 1 species
ACGGGGUGCAGCAGGCGCGAGACCUCCGCAAUACACGAAAGUGUGACGGGGUUACCCAAAGUGUUCAAUUUUGAACUGUGGUAGGUGAGUAAUGUUCCCUACUAGAAAGGAGAGGGCAAGGCUGGUGCCAGCCGCCGCGGUAAAACCAGCUCUUCAAGUGGUCGGGAUAAUUAUUGGGCUUAAAGUGUCCGUAGCCGGUUUAGUAAGUUCCUGGUAAAAUCGGGUAGCUUAACUAUCUAUAUGCUAGGAAUACUACUAUACUAGAGGGCGGGAGAGGUCUGAGGUACUACAGGGGUAGGGGUGAAAUCUUAUAAUCCUUGUUGGACCACCAGUGGCGAAGGCGUCAGACUGGAACGCGCCUGACGGUGAGGGACGAAAGCCAGGGGAGCGAACCGGAUUAGAUACCCGGGUAGUCCUGGCCGUAAACGAUGCAUACUAGGUGAUGGCACGGCCAUGAGCCGUGUCAGUGCCGUAGGGAAACCGUUAAGUGUGCCGCCUGGGAAGUACGGUCGCAAGGCUAAAACUUAAAGGAAUUGGCGGGGGAGCACCACAAGGGGUGAAGCCUGCGGUUCAAUUGGACUCAACGCCGGAAAACUUACCAGGGGAGACAGCAGUAUGACGGUCAGGUUGACGACCUUACCUAACGAGCUGAGAGGAGGUGCAUGGCCGUCGCCAGUUCGUGCCGUGAGGUAUCCUGUUAAGUCAGGCAACGAACGAGAUCCGCACCUUUAUU